GGCAUUAAUUUUUCCUUCAUAUUUCGUUGUUUCUCUACUCGCUGAGUGUGAAAAAUGGACAAAAGCAGUUACCAACAGAAAUAUAGAAAGACUUGGGAAUCAAAUUCUAAUUUCAAACUUUGGAUUCAGCCGUGUAAUGGAGACAACACUAAAGCUGGAUGUCGUUUUUGCGGCGGCAUGAUUGCUGCGCGAUUUACAGAUUUACAAAGACAUGCUCUUUCGAAAAAACAUCAAAAUGCAAUUGCUCCCUUUAGCGCCGAAAGAAAUAAAAAUCAGCCGACAAUAAAUUUUCAACCCCGUCCAAAAAUGGCAGAUCCGAAGCAAAAAUGUCAGGGUAAACUUGCGUUGUUCAUUGCAGUGCACAGCAGUUUUUCAAAUAUAAAUCACUUGGGAGAAAUUUGUAAUGUUGGAUUUGCAGACAGUAAAUCCGCCGGUUUUAGCAUGCAUCGUACAAAAUGUGCAAACAUUAUAACUAAUAUUUUAGCUCCUCAUUUUGGUGAAAACUUGAUUGAUGAUAUUGGAGACUCAUUUUUCAGUAUUCUACUUGAUGAAAGUACUGACACUUCAGUAAUGAAAGUACUUGGCGUUGUUAUAAGGUACUACAGUAAAGAUCAUUGUAAAUUUGUAACAACUUUUUUGGGCUUAAUAGAUUUAGCUUCUGGUACAGCAGAUGGAAUAAUUGAGGGCCUCGAACGAAUUUUUAAGAUAUAUAAUUUAAAAUUUCAUAAGUUAAUUGGAUGGGUACCGACAAUGCCUCCGUUAUGACGGGGAUUAACAAUGGUGCAUAUGUGAAGCUAAAAGAGAAAUAUAAUCUUAAAUGUCUAUAUCUUAUUCGAUGCGUGUGUCACUCAUUGCAGCUGGCCGUUUAUUCCUCUGCAAAAAAAUAUUUCCUUGAAAAUAUUGAGUUUUUAAUCAGAGAAACUCACAAUUGGUUUGCGUUUUCUGCAGUUAGACAGAGAUCCUAUGCUAAAAUUGUUAAGUUAAUAAAUUCGGAUUUAUCGAAUCCAAUAAAAAUUCCUUUAAUGGCAGAAACUCGUUGGCUCUCCAUGGAAAGAGCAGUGAAGUGUAUCUUAAAAAUGUGGCUAGAAUUGAAAACGCAUUUUGACGUACUGCCUCAAAAUGAACGAAGCUAUAUAUCAGUUUUACUUCAAGAAAUGUAUAACAAUAAUGCAAACUAUGUUUAUUUAGUAUACUUAUCAGAUAUUUGAGUUGAUGUGCAAAAAGUUAAUAAAGCAUUUGAGGCAGACAACGCCGAUCAUUUUAAGUUGUUAUCCCGUU